rnacentral:rRNA from 1 species
UGGGGAAUAUUGCACAAUGGGCGAAAGCCUGAUGCAGCGACGCCGCGUGCGGGAUGAAGGCCUUCGGGUUGUAAACCGCUUUUGAUUGGGAGCAAGCGAGAGUGAGUGUACCUUUCGAAUAAGCACCGGCUAACUACGUGCCAGCAGCCGCGGUAAUACGUAGGGUGCAAGCGUUAUCCGGAAUUAUUGGGCGUAAAGAGCUCGUAGGCGGUUUGUCGCGUCUGGUGUGAAAGUCCAUCGCUUAACGGUGGAUCUGCGCCGGGUACGGGCAGGCUAGAGUGCGACAGGGGAGACUGGAAUUCCCGGUGUAACGGUGGAAUGUGUAGAUAUCGGGAAGAACACCAAUGGCGAAGGCAGGUCUCUGGGUCGUCACUGACGCUGAGGAGCGAAAGCGUGGGGAGCGAACAGGAUUAGAUACCCUGGUAGUCCACGCCGUAAACGGUGGAUGCUGGAUGUGGGGGCCCAUUCCACGGGUUCCGUGUC